GAAACAUCCAACAAACAAGUAAAAUAAUACAUAGAAUUCUGUACAUUGCUAUAAGGAAAUAGGGUACUAUGAAAAAGUGAGAGAAAAUUGUUGGUUGUUCUAUAAUGCCAACUAUGGAUUUGCAUGGUCUGGAUCUCCCUCCAGAAAAAUCUACUGCAGAGAGCAUAGUUGAUUGAGUUUCCAGAACACCUGUGUUCCUCCCUAGCAGCCACACCAACGCCAUGCUUUCCCUAGGCUGCUGCCAGCAAUAAUGAAGAGUGGUGGCCUACUAGAGCCAGCUCAUUUCUGUCUGACAUUGAACUCCUUCAAGGAAAGGUUUUCUGAAGACUCUUCAUGAUCCUAGCCUAGAUUUUCAAUUACACUUCAAUCUGAA